GUUUGGUGACAGUUUCCCAACAGGACAGAAAAUUCCUCAGUCUCCCCCCUACUCUGGCAUCAUUAUUUAUCUGAUUGCUUAUUCUGGGGGCAUUGAGUGGGAUAGAAUUUAAUAUUUCCUCUCUUGGGGUUUUAUUUUUAAUAUGGUUUUCCAACUCAUUGAGCCAGAAACACAUGGACCUAGCUACAGACGUUGCAGCUAUGUUUGUUUUUAUACCAAACAUGGA